UACGGGGGGGGCAAGCGUUGUUCGGAAUUACUGGGCGUAAAGGGCUCGUAGGCGGCCAACUAAGUCAGACGUGAAAUCCCUCGGCUUAACCGGGGAACUGCGUCUGAUACUGGUUGGCUUGAAUCCGGGAGAGGGAUGUGGAAUUCCAGGUGUAGCGGUGAAAUGCAUAGAUAUCUGGAGGAACACCGGUGGCGAAGGCGGCAUCCUGGACCGGUAUUGACGCUGAGGAGCGAAAGCCAGGGGAGCAAACGGG
rnacentral:rRNA from 1 species